rnacentral:rRNA from 1 species
GUGAACGCUGGCGGUAGGCCUAACCCAUGCAAGUCGAACGGCAGCACAGUAAGAGCUUGCUCUUACGGGUGGCGAGUGGCGGACGAGUGAGGAAUACAUCGGAAUCUACUUUUUCGUGGGGGAUAACGUAGGGAAACUUACGCUAAUACCGCAUACGACCUACGGGUGAAAGCAGGGGAUCUUCGGACCUUGCGCGAUUGAAUGAGCCGAUGUCGGAUUAGCUAGUUGGCGGGGUAAAGGCCCACCAAGGCGACGAUCCGUAGCUGGUCUGAGAGGAUGAUCAGCCACACUGGAACUGAGACACGGUCCAGACUCCUACGGGAGGCAGCAGUGGGGAAUAUUGGACAAUGGGCGCAAGCCUGAUCCAGCCAUACCGCGUGGGUGAAGAAGGCCUUCGGGUUGUAAAGCCCUUUUGUUGGGAAAGAAAAGCAGCAGGUUAAUACCCCGCUGUUCUGACGGUACCCAAAGAAUAAGCACCGGCUAACUUCGUG